rnacentral:rRNA from 1 species
AUACGUAGGGAGCGAGCGUUGUCCGGAAUUACUGGGUGUAAAGGGUGCGUAGGCGGGACUGCAAGUCAGAUGUGAAAUGCCGGGGCUCAACCCCGGAGCUGCAUUUGAAACUGUGGUUCUUGAGUGAGGUAGAGGUAAGCGGAAUUCCUAGUGUAGCGGUGAAAUGCGUAGAUAUUAGGAGGAACAUCGGUGGCGAAGGCGGCUUACUGGGCCUUUACUGACGCUGAGGCACGAAAGCGUGGGGAGCAAACAGGAUUAGAUACCCUGGUAGUCCACGCUGUAAACGAUGAUGACUAGGUGUGGGGGGACUGAACCCUUCCGUGCCGCAGUUAACACAAUAAGUCAUCCACCUGGGGAGUACGGCCGCAAGGUUGAAACUCAAAUGAAUUGGCGGGG